rnacentral:rRNA from 1 species
AGUGAACGCUGGCGGUAGGCCUAACACAUGCAAGUCGAACGGCAGCACAGUAAGAGCUUGCUCUUACGGGUGGCGAGUGGCGGACGGGUGAGGAAUACAUCGGAAUCUACUUUUUCGUGGGGGAUAACGUAGGGAAACUUACGCUAAUACCGCAUACGACCUACGGGUGAAAGCAGGGGAUCUUCGGACCUUGCGCGAUUGAAUGAGCCGAUGUCGGAUUAGCUAGUUGGCGGGGUAAAGGCCCACCAAGGCGACGAUCCGUAGCUGGUUUGAGAGGAUGAUCAGCCAAACUGGAACUGAGACACGGUCCAGACUCCUACGGGAGGCAGCAGUGGGGAAUAUUGGACAAUGGGCGCAAGCCUGAUCCAGCCAUACCGCGUGGGUGAAGAAGGCCUUCGGGUUGUAAAGCCCUUUUGUUGGGAAAGAAAAGCAGCAGGUUAAUACCCCGCUGUUCUGACGGUACCCAAAGAAUAAGCACCGGCUAACUUCGUG